rnacentral:ncRNA from 1 species
CUGGUUCCGGUUCACGUCCCCGACGAGCUCGGGUGGCGACCCGGCGACC